rnacentral:rRNA from 1 species
AACGAACGCUGGCGGCAGGCUUAACACAUGCAAGUCGAACGCCCCGCAAGGGGAGUGGCAGACGGGUGAGUAACGCGUGGGAACGUGCCCUUCGCUCCGGAAUAGCCCCGGGAAACUAGGAGUAAUACCGGAUACGCCGUAUUGGGAAAGAUUUAUCGGCGAAGGAUCGGCCCGCGUUAGAUUAGCUAGUUGGCGGUGUAAUGGACCACCAAGGCUACGAUCUAUAGCUGGUCUGAGAGGAUGAUCAGCCACACUGGGACUGAGACACGGCCCAGACUCCUACGGGAGGCAGCAGUGGGGAAUCUUGGACAAUGGGCGCAAGCCUGAUCCAGCCAUGCCGCGUGAGUGAAGAAGGCCUUAGGGUUGUAAAACUCUUUCGCCGGAGAAGAUAAUGACGGUAUCCGGAGAAGAAGCCCCGGCUAACUUCGUGCCAGCCGCCGCAGUAAAAC